GUAGGGGGCAAGCGUUGUCCGGAUUUAUUGGGCGUAAAGCGCGUGUAGGCGGCCAGGUAAGUCGGCUGUGAAAACUCGAGGCUCAACCUCGAGAUGUCGGCCGAAACUAUCUGGCUAGAGUCCGGAAGAGGAGAAUGGAAUUCCCGGUGUAGCGGUGAAAUGCGCAGAUAUCGGGAAGAACACCCGUGGCGAGGGCGGUUCUCUGGGACGGUACUGACGCUGAGACGCGAAAGCGUGGGGAGCGAACAGGAUUAGAUACCCUGGUAGUCCACGCCGUAAACGAUGGGAACUAGGUGUGGGCGGUGUCGACUCCCGUCCGUGCCGAAGCUAACGCAUUAAGUUCCCCGCCUGGGGAGUACGGCCGCAAGGCUA
rnacentral:rRNA from 1 species